rnacentral:rRNA from 1 species
UACAGAGGUCUCAAGCGUUGUUCGGAUUCAUUGGGCGUAAAGGGUGCGUAGGUGGCGCCGUAAGUCGGGUGUGAAAUUUCGGAGCUUAACUCCGAAACUGCAUUCGAUACUGCUGUUCUUGAGGGUUGCAGAGGAGACUGGAAUUCCCGGUGUAGCGGUGAAAUGUGUAGAGAUCGGGAGGAACACCGGUGGCGAAGGCGGGUCUCUGGGCAAUUCCUGACGCUGAGGCGCGAAAGCGUGGGGAGCAAACGGG